rnacentral:rRNA from 1 species
AGAGCGAACGUUAGCGGCGGGCUUAACACAUGCAAGUCGAGCGAGAAAGGGGCUUCGGCCCCGAGUACAGCGGCGGACGGGUGAAUAACACGUAGGUAACCUUCCUUCCAGCGGGGGACAACGGUCCGAAAGGACCGCUAAUACCGCAUACGUUCUCCGGGACCUCGGUCCUGGGGAGGAAAGCCUCGCAAGGGGCACUGGAUGAGGGGCCUGCGUAGCAUCAGCUAGUUGGUGGGGUAAUGGCCUACCAAGGCGAAGACGCUUAGCUGGUCUGAGAGGAUGAUCAGCCACACUGGGACUGAGACACGGCCCAGACUCCUACGGGAGGCAGCAGUGGGGGAAUAGUUAGGACAAUGGGACGAAAGCCUGAUCCAGCCACGCCGCGUGAGUGAUAGAGGUCCGUCGGUACGUAAGCUCGUGUGGGAGGACGAAGUAACGCCGUAGAACGAACGGCGUCGUCGACGGUACCUUACCGUACG